rnacentral:rRNA from 1 species
UACGUAGGGUGCAAGCGUUGUCCGGAAUUAUUGGGCGUAAAGAGCUCGUAGGCGGUUUGUCGCGUCGGCUGUGAAAACCUGGGGCUCAACCCCGGGCCUGCAGCCGAUACGGGCAAACUAGAAUUCGGUAGGGGAGACUGGUAUUCCUGGUGUAGCGGUGAAAUGCGCAGAUAUCAGGAGGAACACCGGUGGCGAAGGCGGGUCUCUGGGCCGAUAUUGACGCUGAGGAGCGAAAGCGUGGGGAGCAAACAGG